rnacentral:misc_RNA from 1 species
UUUAUGUAAGUGAACAUUUGUUUUCGAGAGAGCAUUCAAUGGAAUUGGACUGCUGGACAUUCUCCAGCAAAACAAGCAGCGAGAGCAGAAAAUAAAAAAAUUAAGACCAUCCAUAGUUAAAACGACAGCAAAUAUAAUACGAAUUCAGAUGCAGCAAAGGUAAACCAACAAUGCAAUGUGAUAAAAAAUUCCUGAUAUUCAAUAACACCUUUCUUCUACUCUGAGUUCAACAUAAAUCAUUGGCAAAGCAUAAUAUAAAAACUAAAAUUUAGUUCCAAAACUGGAAUGUAACUUGAUCUGAUAUAAAAAUAGUAUCCAAUUGGGAAUAACCCAAAAUAAAAACACAAGCUCACAGCCUUCUCCCUCUUCUACCACCCUUUCUGCGAGUGCUAUCAGUGGGAAUUGGUGUCACGUCCUCUGGAACAAUAAACCAUGAGGAAACCAACAUCAGCAUUCCGACAAAAAACUUAGUAUAAAAUUUAAGCCGACAAUGUCAUUAAUAAGAAUACAAAAAUUUCUAACAUUCAACACCAAUCAACCUAGGCAACUUGUGUGGACAACUCAGAAAACCAUAUACAGAAUUUCAUUCAAUUGUAGGAAGAUAUUAGUAGUAACUACAUGGAAACAUGAAUAUCAAAAUCCCACAACAAUCAAUAAAUCAUAAGAAUACGAAGAAGAUAGGUAGACAACAACACAAAAAAAAAAGGAUAAAAGAUUUUAAAGGAAAACAAAUAUACACCAUUCUGAGCACAAGUAUAGGAUAAGGCCCUUACCUAUGCGACCAAUCUUCAUUCCAGAACGAGCAAGGGCACGCAGGGCAGACUGCGCACCUGGACCUGGUGUUUUUGUCUUAUUACCUCCAGUUGCACGGAGCUUAAUAUGAAGAGCAGUAAUACCAAGUUCCUUGCAUCUCUGUGAGACAUCCUGUGCUGCAAGCAUGGCAGCAUAUGGUGAAGACUCAUCUCUGUCAGCUUUCACCUUCAUGCCUCCUGUUAUUCGAACAAGGGUUUCUCUUCCAGAGAGAUCAGUCACAUGAAUGAAUGUGUCGUUGAAUGAUGCAAAGAUGUGUGCCACUCCAAAAACAUGCUCACCCUCCCUGACUGCAGGUCCAAGUGUCACAUUUUCUUCCUUUGGCUCUCUAGUCUUCUUUUUUGACAUGGCUGCAAGGAUAUGAGGUUGCUAUGGAGACAGCGAGGGAAGGGACUUAAGGAGGCUGAGCGUUAUGAAGUGGGAAAACCCUAGAGAGU